UACAGGGGGUGCAAACGUUGCUCGGAAUCAUUGGGCGUAAAGCGCACGUAGGCGGUUCGUUAUGUCGGAUGUGAAAGCCCUUGGCUUAACCGAGGAAGUGCAUCCGAAACUGGCGAGCUAGAGUACGAAAGAGGAUCGCGGAAUUCCCGGUGUAGAGGUGAAAUGCGUAGAGAUCGGGAGGAACACCCGUAGCGAAGGCGGCCGACUGGACCACACCUGACGCUGAGGCGCGAAGGCCAGGGGAGCGAACGGG
rnacentral:rRNA from 1 species